AGGUUAACCGUAUAGGGGAGCCGUAGAGAAAUCGAGUCUUAAUAGGGCGUUUAGUUGCUGGGUAUAGACCCGAAACCAGGCGAUCUAUCCAUGAGCAGGUUGAAGGUUGGGUAACACUAACUGGAGGACCGAACCCACUGUCGUUGAAAAGCCAGGGGAUGACUUGUGGAUAGGGGUGAAAGGCUAAUCAAGCCUGGUGAUAGCUGGUUCUCCCCGAAAGCUAUUUAGGUAGCGCCUCGGACGAAUACCAUAGGGGGUAGAGCACUGUUUCGGCUAGGGGGUCAUCCCGACUUACCAAACCGAUGCAAACUCCGAAUACCUAUGAGUACUAUCCGGGAGACAGACUGCGGGUGCUAACGUCCGUAGUCAAGAGGAAAACAAUCCAGACCGCCAGCUAAGGCCCCAAAAUCAUAGUUAAGUGGGAAACGAUGUGGGAAGGCAUAGACAGCUAGGAGGUUGGCUUAGAAGCAGCCACCCUUUAAAGAAAGCGUAAUAGCUCACUAGUCGAGUCGGCCUGCGCGGAAGAUGUAACGGGGCUAAAACUAUGUGCCGAAGCUGCGGAUUUGACAUUAGUCAAGUGGUAGGGGAGCGUUCUGUAAGCCGAUGAAGGUGUGUUGAGAAGCAUGCUGGAGGUAUCAGAAGUGCGAAUGCUGACGUGAGUAACGACAAAACGGGUGAAAAACCCGUUCGCCGAAAGACCAAGGGUUCCAGUCCAACGUUAAUCGGGGCUGGGUGAGUCGACCCCUAAGGCGAGGCCGAAAGGCGUAGUCGAUGGGAAAAUGGUUAAUAUUCCAUUACUUCUGUGUAAUGCGAUGAGAGGACGGAGAAGGCUAAAUCAGCCUGGCGUUGGUUGUCCAGGUGAAAGGAUGUAGGCAUGUAUCUUAGGCAAAUCCGGGGUACUCUAUGCUGAGAUCUGAUAGCAAGCUGUACUUGUACAGCGAAGUGGUUGAUGCCAUGCUUCCAGGAAAAGUCUCUAAGCUUCAGUUACACAGGAAUCGUACCCGAAACCGACACAGGUGGUCAGGUCGAGUAGACCAAGGCGCUUGAGAGAACUCUGCUGAAGGAACUAGGCAAAAUGGUACCGUAACUUCGGGAGAAGGUACGCUGUUGUUGGUGAUGGAACUCGCUUCCUGAGCUGACGACAGCCGCAGAAACCAGGCCGCUGCAACUGUUUAUUAAAAACAUAGCACUCUGCAAACACGAAAGUGGACGUAUAGGGUGUGAUGCCUGCCCGGUGCUGGAAGGUUAAUUGAUGGGGUUAGCGUAAGCGAAGCUCUUGAUCGAAGCCCCAGUAAACGGCGGCCGUAACUAUAACGGUCCUAAGGUAGCGAAAUUCCUUGUCGGGUAAGUUCCGACCUGCACGAAUGGCAUAAUGAUGGCGGCGCUGUCUCCAGCAGAGGCUCAGUGAAAUCGAAAUCGCUGUGAAGAUGCAGUGUACCCGCG
rnacentral:rRNA from 1 species